GACCCAAUCCAAUCGCCCGCACGCCGCAACCCUUCCUCCCUCCUCGAUCUCUCUCCCUCAGCCGCCACGAACCCUAGCCCCCUUUCCUACCAUCCCGCGGUCGCUGCCCCUGCUCCAUCCGACCUCCAUCCUCUCCCAUGUCGCCGCCCCUCUUCUCCCCGCUCACCUCGGCCACCUCCUCUCCUCCGCCGUGUCAUCGGCCCCCUCCCUCCUCUCAGUCCCGUGCCAGCCACCUCCCAAACCCUAGCCCCCGUUUCCCUUGAUCCCCACAGUUACUGCAUCCACAGCCACCCGCUCAGCGAGGCCGAAGACCGGGCAGCGGACGCCUCACGGGGUGGAGGAGAAGCCGACGAUAGGGAAAAGCAGCAUUUUCAUGGAUGA
rnacentral:rRNA from 1 species